UCAAUAAAGACAGGAUUAAAGACCCUACAAGUGGAGCUUCAAGCAACCAAACGAACAACUUCAAUGCAAACCCUGUUAAAUGAGGAGCUGCAACCAAUAAACCAAAUCAGAAGAAGUAACCAUCUCCAUCAGGACAACCACAUUCUAAAAUCUAGAAGGAAAACGGAUA